UGGGCCAUUAGCUCAGGUGGUUAGAGCGCACCCCUGAUAAGGGUGAGGUCCCUGGUUCAAGUCUAGGAUGGCCCA
rnacentral:tRNA from 1 species